rnacentral:misc_RNA from 1 species
CACGAUGCCCAGGGGGCCGCCGACACGCAGCAGCACGAAGGGAUCGGACGACACCGGCCUGUCCUCCUCUACCGCACGGUUGAACAUCGGCGCGAUCACCGGAUGGUUGUUCAGCAUGCGACCGACGAAGGUCUUUGUUUCAUCGUUCUGCGGCUCGACAUCCAUCACGACGGUCGCCGGAUCGGGCACCGCCGCCGGAUUGAGCGG